AUUGAACGCUGGCGGCAGGCCUAACACAUGCAAGUCGAGCGGAUGAAGGGAGCUUGCUCCUGGAUUCAGCGGCGGACGGGUGAGUAAUGCCUAGGAAUCUGCCUGGUAGUGGGGGAUAACGUUUCGAAAGGAACGCUAAUACCGCAUACGUCCUACGGGAGAAAGCAGGGGACCUUCGGGCCUUGCGCUAUCAGAUGAGCCUAGGUCGGAUUAGCUUGUUGGUGAGGUAAUGGCUCACCAAGGCGACGAUCCGUAACUGGUCUGAGAGGAUGAUCAGUCACACUGGAACUGAGACACGGUCCAGACUCCUACGGGAGGCAGCAGUGGGGAAUAUUGGACAAUGGGCGAGAGCCUGAUCCAGCCAUGCCGCGUGUGUGAAGAAGGUCUUCGGAUUGUAAAGCACUUUAAGUUGGGAGGAAGGGUUGUAGAUUAAUACUCUGCAAUUUCGACGUUACCGACAGAAUAAGCACCGGCUAACUCUGUGCCAGCCGCCGCGGUAAGAC
rnacentral:rRNA from 1 species